rnacentral:rRNA from 1 species
UACGUAGGGGGCUAGCUUUGUCCGGAUUUAUUGGGCGUAAAGAGCGUGUAGGAGGCCAGGUAGGUCUGCUGUGAAAACUCGAGGCUCAACCUCGAGACGUCGGCGGAAACCAUCUGGCUAGAGUCCGGAAGAGGAGAGUGGAAUUCCCGGUGUAGAGGUGAAAUUCGUAGAUAUCGGGAGGAACACCGGUGGCGAAGGCGGCGACCUGGGUAGAUACUGACGCUGAGGUGCGAAAGCGUGGGGAGCAAACAGG